GCAUGUGAGGGCAAUCUGGCUGUGACAUCUGUCACCCCAUUGAUUGUCAGGUUGAUUUGGCUGAUCUGGCUGGCUAGGCGGGUGUCCCCUUCCACCCUCACUGCUCCAUGUGUGUCCCUUCCAAAACUGCAUGCUCAGUGGAAGAGGAUGGCCUUCCCUGAAUAGAGACGGACUGGUCUUUGAUUGAGGGUAUACAAGUAGUCGCACUCCCCUGCUAGAACCUCCAAACAAGCUCUCAAGAUACAAGUAUAUGUAAAUAUCAUAAAAGGACAUAAUUUUUUUUGAAGUUUUUUUUAUUUAUAAACCGGAAACACU
rnacentral:snRNA from 1 species